ensembl:lncRNA
UUUUUACAGGAAUGCACAAGCCUUCCCAACAAACCAUGUGUCAGAUUUGCAGCAGUGGUUUUUAUCAGAUCCACUGGGGCCAAGAGAACUGUGACGUGUGUCCUGAAAACCACUACUGCCCUGUGAGUGAUUAAUUCCUCUAAGCACACACACAGAGUCAGUCUUUACAGUUACCACGGGACUUUAUGGUUUCCUUUUUCUGCAUGCAAAUCUUAUACUGUAGUUUUUUUAUACUUACUUGUUUAUCCAAGAAAAUAAAUGUACCUCUGUCUGUAUCCCAGAGUCCUGAUGUAAAUCCGAUCCAGUGUCCCGCUGAUGCGUUCUGUCCUGAGGGCAGCACGGCCCCUGGUUACUGCAUGGAGACCUUCUUCAGAAAGGCAGGGGAGACAUGUGAACUUGCUCCUGUUACCAUUGCACUGCUUGUUAUUGGAGGAGGAGUAGGUCUUCUCUUCAUCAUCGUUUUGGUUCUGCGGAAGAGAAGAGAUAAUGACAGCGAGCUUUCCCUUGCUCGGACGCCCCUCCUGCGAAAGGACCGCACACCUGGCCGCUUCCAUGGAGUCCCUCGUGAUGCAGAGCCUGUUUAUGCAGGCUGGUGACAUUAACAACUACACUGACCUGUUUUCAGCUGCACAGAUUUUGUCUGAAAGUUUCUGUUGAGAACUUUAUAUUG